AUUGAAAUUCCUUUUUAGGUAAGUACUUUCAGUCAAGAAAAGUAACUGUGUUUUAGUUUAUUUCCAGGUUGAUUCUUUUCCGUUAUGGAAGAGCGUUUACAAAUUAUUUUGACAAAGGUCGCACAACCAAAUCAUUAUUUUUCUUUCCAGAAUGCACCUCUGUAAAAGACAACAAAAUAAGAACCAGCCAAGGAAAGCAAAAGGCGGAACUACCUCUGCAAGUCCAAGAAAGCUGGUACUGACAAUGUUGUGGCUGAACCGGACACCCCACAAUAGUCUCCAGCCUCGAGGAAGCAGCUCUACCUCUCUCUAUCUUGGACAAAAUGAAUUUUAAGAGAUCACCUUGAGUGUUUAGAUCCUGUUUCCCAAGCAAACAUUUUCAGGAGUCUUUGAGGACAAUCUUCAGCAAAAUGAGAGAACAGACCAAGAAAAAGAAAAGCAUGAACUCAAGUGUAUCCAAACCAGGAGCACAGCUGAAGGAAGUCCCAGAAGGGCAGCUACCCAGCAGGCUCACAGAGCGACUGGCACAGAUGGGAGCAAGAAGGGCCCUCUUUUUCCGUAUCAUGUGAUUUUUUAAAAGCAUAUGCUUGUAUUAUCUGAAAUACUUCAGAUAAAAAAAAAAACCCAGCAUACUUCAUGUUACAAACUUUCUUCUAAGCAUACACAAUCCUCCCUCUGCGUUUCUAUUUUUAAAACAUGGUGCCUUUAAGAAUUACUUAGUGGUAACAUCAGUCAAUACAAAAGCAUAUGAAAGUCUCCGGCUGCCUCCUACACGCCCAGGAGUCAAUCACUACUAGAGUUAUGCAUCUUCUCCAACUCUGGCAUGCAUAGUCUUUAUUAAAAUGUUUUACCAAAAACAAAAAAAAAUCAUACUAUAUGUGUUCUUCCACAACUUGCUUUUUCACAGGGCGCUGUGUCACAGGUGUACCCCCUUGUCAAUGAGCACAUACUCAGCUUAUUCUUUUUUAUGACUGUACAGGUUUCUGCAGACGGACAGACCACAAUUUAUUUAACCUGCACCUUAUUAAUAGAUAUUUAGAUUGCCUCCAAUUUUUGACUAAUGCAACAAAUGCUUCCAGAAACAGUCAGACACAUGCUUCUUUGUACAAGUAUUUUUUUAAGAUAAAUUUCAAGAUGUGAAAUUGCUGGUUCAAAGGACACAUGUGUUUUACAUUUUAAUAGAUUAGAAAGUGAAAACCCCUUCCCCCAAAAUGGGCUGUACUAUUUUACACUCACACUAAAAAUAUAUGAGUAGUCAUUUCCCUACAUUUUUACCAAUCACUGACAUUAUUAACCUUUUAAGGUUUUGUUUCACAAAACCAGCAAACAUGACAGCUCACUAUUGUUUUAAUUUGACUUUUUAUUAUUAUUAGUGGGGUGUAUCUUCCUUUCAUAUGCUUAUUAGCCAUUUGAUAUUUUUAUUCAUAUCUUCCAAUUAUUAUUAUUUUCCCAUUUGGCUGUUUGUGAUUUUCUUGUUAUUUUGUAGUUCUUUUUUUCUUAGGAGUACUCCUUUUAUUAUAUAUUACGCAAAUAUUUUCUUCCAGGCUGUUGUUUUUCUUUUAAGUUUUUAAUUUAUAAGUGUCCCAAAAUUACCAUUGAGGUCUACCAUUGAGGUCUUAAAGAACUUGAUUAAAACAUGACCUUUCUGGGGCACCUUGGUGGCUCAGUCAGUUAAGUGUUCGACUUCGGCUCAGAUCAUGAUCUCGUGGUCCAUGAGUUCGAGCCCCGCGUCGGGGGCUGUCUGUGCUGACAGCUCAGAGCCUGGAGCCGGCUUUGGAUUCUGUGUCUCCCUCUGUGUCUUCCCUUUCUCUGCUUGCUCUCUCUCUCUCUCUCUCUCUCUCUCUCUCAAAAAAUAAACAUUAAAAAAAUUAAGAAAAAAGCA
ensembl:lncRNA